AUCAAUGAAAAUCGGUAUUUCUCUAUUCACGUUUUGCGUAAUAAUAUAUAUAUAUAUAUAUAUACGUAAAUUCAUAAAAAUUAUAAUUGUACGUACUCGAUAAAACGACACGGAAGUUAUCGAUCAAAGUGACACCGGUUGGAUGCUCUUUUUCGAGCACCAACCUUUUCCAACGAUUAUCGUUCCAUCGUGACGCAAUUCUCGUCGUGGGCGCGCCGGCCAAACGGGUUUAACUUUGUUUACCGGAUCGAGCGAGCAAGCGUUUCGAUUAAAAGUGGCAGCAUGUCGUUCAUUUGAAAUGGCAAUUGUACGCGGAAAGAGCAGUCCUUGGAGCAACACGUGCGACUUUACAGCGAAUCGACAACAUUUCGAGAUGGCAGGAAACACGGGCUACUAAUUUUCAGAACAAGUUAGGACGACGAAAAACUCGAGAGAUGAAUUCCUCCCAUUCUGUUUCCAAUCUUUAUUCUCUCGACGAGCAAGCGAUGGUGAAUUUUAUAUUUAAAAAAAAAGGAACGAACGAUUUUUAAGAAAAUGGUGAAAUGUAUCUCGAGCAGGGCAAUUAUUCUUUCCUGUCCCGGCGGAUAAUCCUGGCGGGUUCGAAAGGAAAACUUGGCCAUCUGUUUCGAGGAUUUUUAAAAAGAUCUCCGGGAUUUUUUUUUACACCUUUUCGAGAACCAACAUAAAUCGUGAUCCACCAUCGAGGAGAAGAGGCCACAUCGUUCCUUAACAAAUGUCUUAAGGGGGGGAAAUUUAUGAAGCUCGGUGAGGAAUAAGCUUUGGAGAAAUAAAGUUUGGAAAAUUUGCCCUCUGGUCGAACGAGAAUUUUCGUAACAAUUCCUUUCUCCAUUACCAAAUUAAAGGGACAAGAAUCCAUACUCUUCCUUGAAAAAUAAUUUUCAUAAAUUAAUUUCUUCUUUAACGUUAUCAUAAUAAUGUUUCUUUAAUUUGUCAUCAAUUUAUGGAUGCUGCAAAAAAGAAUAUUUAAAAAACGGAAUGUUUUGAAAGAAUUGCACGUAAAAUUGUAGUGAGAAGUUUGAAAUAAAAGUCUGAAGCGCAACACUUUUUCCUAUUAUUACAGGCCAAUUACAGGCGAAGAAUAUUAUUAUUAAUCUCCUUUUCCCUUUACUCGAAAAUAUCGUUGGAAGGUUCGAAGCAUUUCGUCGAUCCCCCAAAAUCCAUCGUUAAUUCCAACAUGUCGAUAACGUUGAUUGAUUAGCCCAAGCCUCCCCCGAGUUGCCGAGAGUCAAUACUGUCCAUCAAGCCACGGCAAUAUUUCUGUUGAAGACCCGUGGAAAAUUAAAAGGCGUUAAUUACCACCGCGAUACACGAAACACGUGCUGGUCCACGGGGGAUAAACGCGCGUAACACGAAAAACAUUGAACAACCCUCAAAUAUUUGGCUGAUUUGGGGGACGUAAGUGAAAAACUUGCAACAAGCGAGCUCCCUCCCCC